AUAAACCCAGGGAGGGACAUGACAGCCACACAAGCCUGGGAAUGGCAGCCCCAUGGGAAACCAUUGCCCCUCUUGUGAAAUCAGGCAGGGCAAACAGACAAACCACAGCAGCCUGUUUUUAUAAAAUGGUGAUGUGUUGUUUAUCAUGGACUUUUGGGCACUGAUUUUGGUUUUUAGACAUAUUGUCACUGGGGUUUUGGGUGCUCCCUUGAAUUUUGUGCCCCAGGAAACUGCGCUUUCCCAAGCUUGACAAAGAAAAGCCUCGGGGAAAUAAAACUUGGAUGUGAUGAAACUCAUGCAGCCCAACAAUUGGAGAAGCUCCUUUCUUAUCUCCAAGCCUCAGGCUUGAGAAGUGGCACUGAAGACCCCUGAACAGACAAGACGGAAUCUGACCGUGGUGUUCUCUGAAUGAGGAAGCUCUUUCACACUGGAACACAUGUCUGGCCGAAGACACAUGCUGAGAAGAACAGGGAUCUGGAAAGCUGCAGAAAGUGAGGCACUAGCUGCAUGGACCUCAGGCAGAUAUGGCACACCAGUUUCUGUUAAGUUCAAGUGCCUUUGCAGAGGAGUCUACAUAAUCAUCAUUUGCCAACAAAGUGUUGUUAACUAUAGCACGCAAGGUCUUCACAUGGCACCUUCCAGUCCUAAGCAAGGCUGUGAAGAAUUGUUUUGUAAAAUAAAACUACUAGCCGGGGGAUAGAUUGUGACAACCAACACUGACACACAAACAGACUCCAAUACCAGGAGCAACACAGCAAUUGCAAAGUCCAGAACCCUGAGAGUUCCAGCAUUCCCUGGAGCUUAUCUAUUCCGGCCGACUUCU